AUUGAACGCUGGCGGCAGGCUUAACACAUGCAAGUCGAGCGGGGUGAUGGUGCUUGCACUAUCACUUAGCGGCGGACGGGUGAGUAAUGCUUAGGAAUCUGCCUAUUAGUGGGGGACAACAUCUCGAAAGGGAUGCUAAUACCGCAUACGUCCUACGGGAGAAAGCAGGGGAUCACUUGUGACCUUGCGCUAAUAGAUGAGCCUAAGUCGGAUUAGCUAGUUGGUGGGGUAAAGGCCUACCAAGGCGACGAUCUGUAGCGGGUCUGAGAGGAUGAUCAGCCACACUGGGACUGAGACACGGCCCAGACUCCUACGGGAGGCAGCAGUGGGGAAUAUUGGACAAUGGGGGAACCCUGAUCCAGCCAUGCCGCGUGUGUGAAGAAGGCCUUAUGGUUGUAAAGCACUUUAAGCGAGGAGGAGGCUCUUUUGGUUAAUACCCAAGAUGAGUGGACGUUACUCGCAGAAUAAGCACCGGCUAACUCUGUGCCAGCAGCCGCCGCGG
rnacentral:rRNA from 1 species